rnacentral:rRNA from 1 species
CACGGAAUUAGCCGGUCCUUAUUCAUGAGGUACAUGCAAUGGCGCACACGUGCGCCACUUUAUUCCCACAUAAAAGCAGUUUACAACCCAUAGGGCCGUCAUCCUGCACGCUACUUGGCUGGUUCAGACUUGCGUCCAUUGACCAAUAUUCCUCACUGCUGCCUCCCGUAGGAGUUUGGACCGUGUCUCAGUUCCAAUGUGGGGGACCUUCCUCUCAGAACCCCUACUGAUCGUCGCCUUGGUGGCCGUUGCCCCGCCAACAAGCUAAUCAGACGCAUCCCCAUCCCUUACCGGAAAACCUUUGUUUCAUAUCGGAUGCCGUCAAUGAAACACAUCGGGUAUUAGGCCGUUCUUUCGAACGGGGUACUCCCCGAAGUAACGGGGCAGGUUGGAUACGCGAUACUCACCCGUGCCGCCGGUCGACGUCCAGAAUGUGCAAGCACAUAAUCGCCGUUUCCCCACGACUUGCAUGUGUUAAGCCUGAGCCAGCGUUCAUCCUGACGCCAGGCUAACC